ACACAGGGGGAGUAACAGUUGGAAACGGCUGCUAAUACCGCAUAAGCGCACAGUACCGCAUGGUACAGUGUGAAAAACUCCGGUGGUGUGAGAUGGACCCGCGUCUGAUUAGCUAGUUGGCAGGGCAACGGCCUACCAAGGCGACGAUCAGUAGCCGACCUGAGAGGGUGACCGGCCACAUUGGGACUGAGACACGGCCCAAACUCCUACGGGAGGCAGCAUG
rnacentral:rRNA from 1 species